UCCGGUUUGUCACCGGCAGUCUCGCAUGAGUCCCCGGCCGAACCGCUGGCAACAUGCGACGAGGGUUGCGCUCGUUGCGGGACUUAACCCAACACCUCACGGCACGAGCUGACGACAGCCAUGCAGCACCUGUGCUAGCUCCCCGAAGGGUCCUUCGUAUUUCUACUCCGUACUACUAGCAUGUCAAGCCUUGGUAAGGUUCUUCGCGUUGCAUCGAAUUAAACCACACGCUCCGCCGCUUGUGCGGGCCCCCGCCAAUUCCUUUGAGUUUUAGCCUAGCGGCCGUACUCCCCAGGCGGGAUGCUUAAAGCGUUAGCUGCGCCACUGAUGAGUAAACCCACCAACGGCUAGCAUCCAUCGUUUACGGCGUGGACUAC
rnacentral:misc_RNA from 1 species